GGACUGGUAGCUCAGUUGGUAGAGCCACCACGGGAGGUCUCGAGUUCGAUCCUCGACCAGUGCA